rnacentral:tRNA from 1 species
GCAAGCGUGGUGUAAUGGUUAUCACUCGGAACUAUGGUUCUUUAGAUCCGAGUUCAAACCUCGGAACUCUCU